rnacentral:lncRNA from 1 species
ACAUCAACUGUAUAUGGCACAAACUAAUUAACCAACGAAGCAAUGUGAAUCACGGGGAAUUCGUUAGUGGUCCCACUAUGUUGAUGGUUGGAGCCACAGUUGAGGUGAUCAAGAACAUACCUGAAACAGUCAAACCAUCCAAUCUGAGACCAUCAACGGUCCUGAGUAGAGCAGAUGUGCAGUAUGGCUGCAGUAGAAUGACAAGAAUUAGGGAACAAUCAGAAUAAUUCAAUCACCGCACAAGUACAGCCUGUAGUUUUUUUUUAACGGCCGCUACUAUGAUUGUAAAUAUCUCUAUCCGAUUCAUUACAUACUUGCAUAUUCCUGUGUAAUUCCUUGUUGCUUGAACAAUCAUCGUACUUUAUUAAAUACACAUGUUCCUGCAGUGCUUCUAACGAGGAAUAAAAAUUCAGUAAUCAACAGCUGGCUAAUACAAAGAAGCAAUUGGGUAGCGUUGCAAAGUAUCAACCUUGAGCCAUCCAAUUCAAACCCUCGAGCAGGAGGAAAACGGUGAGAAGCAUUACUGACAAGAAUUACACGAUUGUUGCAGCAACAUACUCCCUCUGUAACAAAAUGUAAAACGCUUUUUAUGCCCUAUGCAAAACCAAAAAAACGUUUUACAUUUUGGUACAGAGGGGGUACUUACAAUAAAACCAGCAGUGACACGACGAGCCACUCAAUCUACCAAUCUGCUCCACGAGUGCAAUAAGCGCAAAGAGGUCGUCGAUACAGGCAUCCACUGGCUGGACGGUGCAUAGUCCGCCUGGUUGAAGCACGGAAGGAAGCUGCAGUGGCACGCUAGAGCGACUUCACACUAGGCUGCUGGAGGUGGAUCAUGGCGAGGCGCCACUGGAGGAGAGGCCGGUCGGUGAACAAAGCAAAAGAUCGUGGGACUUGGGCAUCAGAACUUACU